rnacentral:rRNA from 1 species
UACGUAGGGAGCAAGCGUUGUCCGGAUUUACUGGGUGUAAAGGGUGCGUAGGCGGCUUUGCAAGUCAGAAGUGAAAUCCAUGGGCUUAACCCAUGAACUGCUUUUGAAACUGCAGAGCUUGAGUGGAGUAGAGGUAGGCGGAAUUCCCGGUGUAGCGGCGAAAUGCGUAGAGAUCGGGAGGAACGCCAGUGGCGAAGGCGGCCUGCUGGGCUCUAACUGACGCUGAGGCACGAAAGCGUGGGUAGCAAACAGG